rnacentral:rRNA from 1 species
GACGAACUGUCCUACCGUUGUUCGGAAUCACUGGGCUUAAAGGGCGCGUAGGCGGUCGACCAAGUCAGGGGUGAAAUCCUGCAGCUUAACUGUAGAAGUGCCUUUGAUACUGGUCGUCUCGAGGGAGGUAGGGGUGUGUGGAACUUCCAGUGGAGCGGUGAAAUGCGUUGAUAUUGGAAGGAACGCCGGAGGCGAAAGCGACCACCUGGACUGAUACUGACACUGAGGUGCGAAAGCGUGGGGAGCAAACAGG